UGACUGCAAAGGAGGAAUACUAAAGGAGACUGCUUCGCCUGUGUGAAUACCGAUGUGAGAGCUUUGCUUGGGAGAGUCUGGCAGUUCGUAUUCUUUAAUACAUGGACUGGUAGAGGAACUUACAAAAUAGUUGGAAAUUUAGCUGCCAGGAAUCCAAAAUGUUGUAACAGCAUCUAAGGCUCUGUUGGCUAAAUUCUCCAUUGUUCCUGGGGUUCUGAAUUGCAAAUGUUUAAUUCCAAGCAGUCAAAAAGUCGCCGUUCUAGCACUUUCCUCCAGCCAGCAGAGGAAAUAAAAGGAUGAUAAUCGGCUAACCACUGUUUGUUUUGAUGAUGUCAGAAAUGUGAAAGAUGGGAAAGGUUUGGUUUCAAAGAGAGAAAACAUUAUCAGAAAUUAGUGGAAAUUAACCAAUCAGCUUGACACGCUGUCAUCCCUCUGGAUGGGAUUCAAUUUGGAGUUCACUUUACAAUUUUAGCUGCCAAAGAGAAUAAGUCUGACUGAUGUGAGGCUGCUAUCUGCUUAACAUUUUCCUGGACCAUAGAGGAUAUGCUGGCGAUCAGGGCCAUCCAACUCGCACAGACCUCCACUGGUGUGGUUUGAACAUACAAGACUUUUCCUGCCGUGAGAAGGGGAGACUGUGCUGCAUUAUGAAAACGUCAACAUCAAAAAGAAGGCAAGAAAAAAAUAUGACCUCCUCAUCCCAUGGUAUCAUGAAGUAAUAGAAUUACAGGAAGAAAAGAAGGAAGCUGUUUUAACUGUAAGCAGAAUGAAGCAUGAGCAAAGCAUACGUAUAUAGGGAAAUGACAUUCAGCCCAAAUGACAUUUCUCUGCAUGCACUGUAAGUUUUAAAGCUACACGAUCCUUUCUUAGUUGUG
rnacentral:lncRNA from 1 species